CCAGGCCCGUCCACUACCACUCCGCCAUGCUGAAGAACAUUCACAGCUGCUAAAGGUUUGACUCUUCGGAAAGCCACGUUCUGCUGGAGUGAAUCAGCCGGUGUUGAUAUCAAAUGAGGCUCCAUGAACAAAGGUAGGCUGGCAACGAGGGCAUAUCACUCCUG
rnacentral:lncRNA from 1 species